GCUUGUCUCAAAGAUUAAGCCAUGCACGUCUGAGAAUAAAGAGUUUUCUCUGAAUCUGCGAAUGGCUCAUUAUAUCAGUUAUAGUUUAUUUGAUAGUCCUUUACUACUUGGAUAACCGUAGUAAUUCUAGAGCUAAUACAUGCAUCAACUCCCAACUGCUUGUCGGACGGGAUGUAUUUAUUAGAUACAAAACCAACCCGGGCAACCGGUCCUUUGGUGAUUCAUGAUAACUUUGCGAAUCGCAUAGCUUUAAUGCUGGCGAUGGGUCAUUCAAAUUUCUGCCCUAUCAACUUUCGACGGUAGGAUAGAGGCCUACUGUGGUGAUAACGGGUAACGAAGAAUAAGGGUUCGAUUUCGGAGAGGGAGCCUGAGAAACGGCUACCACAUCCAAGGAAGGCAGCAGG
rnacentral:rRNA from 1 species